CUAGAGUACAGCUGAAAACAUCGAAGCAGGUUUUCAAUGGGAACUUUACAGCACCCUGGCUUCCUGUGACACCCCCUGAAGUGCUUUCUCCAGGAGAUUUCACCUUGUGAAGUUUCUCAUGUGAAAUCCUGAACUGACACCAAUCCUUUCCUAAGACCUCUGAAAAAGCACUCAUUAAUGACUGCCUAACUAUGGCUCCAAUUGAAGUUUCUCUUCAAUUUCAGGCGACCCCUGUGAAAGGGUCACUUGACCUGCACAGGUUGGGAACCUGUUCUAUACGAAAGAAAGCUUAACAAGCCACAAAGAACAAACUGGUCAGCACCACCCUUCCAUGGCCUUUGCAUCAGCUCCUGACACCAGCUUCCUGUCCUGUGCAGUUCCUGUCCUGACUACCUUCAAU